CGGGUCGCGGUUGUGCUC
rnacentral:siRNA from 1 species